rnacentral:rRNA from 1 species
GACAGAGGGUGCAAACGUUGUUCGGAAUUACUGGGCGUAAAGCGAACGUAGGCGGUGUUCCAUGUCAGAGGUGAAAGCCUGGGGCUCAACUCCAGAAUUGCCUUUGAAACGGGGACGCUUGAGUCCGAGAGAGGGUGGCGGAAUUCCUAGUGUAGAGGUGAAAUUCGUAGAUAUUAGGAAGAACACCGGUGGCGAAGGCGGCCAUCUGGCUCGGUACUGACGCUCAGGUUCGAAAGCGUGGGGAGCAAACAGG